rnacentral:lncRNA from 1 species
CAAGAUAUUAAGUAAACAGAAUUAGUAUAUAUGUUUUUUUAAACAGUAACUUUAAAUCAGUAAUCCGAUUAAAUUUUACGAUUCAUUUCAUUAUUUUAUUUUUGAUCAAAUAUUGCCUAGACCUACAUCUGAAUGUGCAACCUCCAUCGUGCAAGACUUUACUUUAAACGAAAUGCCAACUCCAAAAUUUUGAAAAUGCAAAUCAACGUGGCUGUUAUUAAUGUAUACUUGAUGGUACGAGUAACAAGCCUAAUCAUUGCAAAUUGAAACACUCCACAUUAUUUUCUGAGACCUCAAGGAAAAAUGAAAGUAUCAUUGGUUUCAGACAUUUUUGACAAGAUCCAGAAGUUUUGUUUUCAAUCUGAAUUUAUUACAAGCGCA